GGAGGAUUCAAGCGUUAUCCGGAUUUAUUGGGUUUAAAGGGUGCGUAGGCGGUUUGAUAAGUUAGAGGUGAAAUUUCGGGGCUCAACCCUGAACGUGCCUCUAAUACUGUUGAGCUAGAGAGUAGUUGCGGUAGGCGGAAUGUAUGGUGUAGCGGUGAAAUGCUUAGAGAUCAUACAGAACACCGAUUGCGAAGGCAGCUUACCAAACUAUAUCUGACGUUGAGGCACGAAAGCGUGGGGAGCAAACAGGAUUAGAUACCCUGGUAGUCCACGCAGUAAACGAUGAUAACUCGUUGUCGGCGAUACACAGUCGGUGACUAAGCGAAAGCGAUAAGUUAUCCACCUGGGGAGU
rnacentral:rRNA from 1 species